rnacentral:tRNA from 1 species
GCUCCUGUAGUGUAGUCCGGCCAAUCACCUCGGAUUCUCGCGGCGAGGGCUCGCGCCCUGAGGCUUUCGCCUCGCGCCGAAAACAUCCGAAGACCCGGGUUCAAAUCCCGGCGGGAGCA